rnacentral:snoRNA from 1 species
UUCACUGAUGAAAGCUGCUGCAUAGGAAGUGCCGUCUGAUGCGACAACUGACGAUUUAUAAGCGUUUCUGAGA